UUUCACUUCCAGAGCUAGUGAGAAGAAGAAAUUGUUCUGUCAAUUUUGAAGCUCUGAGCAAGUGGUCAAACUAUUUGUCUGUAUUGGUGGAGGCUGAAGACAUGAGUCCAUGGACAGGGACUACUGAGGAACCUUCAUCAAGAACAUUAACAAGAGAUACUACACGUAGGGACAGAGCCGACCGACGUGGAGACGUUUACUAUCGCUACUGAAGAGGUGGUACCCAGUUCACAGUUUGAGAUAGAGAUAAGUCAGAGUGAUGAUGGGGAGAGUGUGGAGCAGCUACAGGCCAGUGACUUGGGCCCUAACUUUGGUCUUGUGCAUGAUACCCAGGUAACACACACACACACACACUUCACACCAAGUAACAUAUAAAAACUAGCACUUAAAACGCUUUUUUAAAGGUAUCCUAGGACUUUUCGUUUUCGUAUUAUUUUCGCUUUCGUAUUACAUGGUUAGAAUUUGCAUGAUGGUAACUACCUCCCAAAUAACGAACACACACACACACACUUGUUGUUCCCGCCCACUCACACAGGAGGUCCACACGCUAACUAGCGAUGAUGGUUUGCCCUCUGACAUGACCUCUGAGGAUGGCUCCACCCUCAACGCUAUAGGCCACGCCCUUAUCCAGAUGCAGCAAGGUGGACAGACCACCCCCUCAUCUCAGUUCCUCAUCACUAGGAGCACCUCAUCUGGUUCAGAGUCUGGACAAAAAUUAAUGGUGAAUAAAGAAGACCAAAUUUAUCAGUGUGACGAUUGCUUUUUUGCCAAAUCCAAAAGUUAUAGGCCUCGAUAAGUUAUCCAAGUGCUUGUACAUACUAAUUACAUGUAGAACCAUGAGUAUUAUUGCUAAUGUUUGAUAUAAAAUAAUUAUAAAAUAAGGUUUCUUGGAAGUGGUGUUGAAAAAUAGUCAGUUUUUACUAUGUUGUUGUGUGUGUUGAGGUCCUCUGUAUGUGAUGAUCCCACUAUCCAGUAGUGCUGAGAUACUGCAUGCAAUGGGUCGACCUAUAGCACCCAAGAUGAGCGGGAUAUCAACUAUGGAUUAUCACACGGCCGACCCCAUCGUUCAAAUGCAGUUGUGAGUACACAGUUCAUGUGAUUGCCUACCUCUGCAUAACAUGUAUGACAGUAUGUUAGGAAAAGCAUCAUUCUUGCUACAUACACAGGGUUCUACCUACAGUGGUCGUUUAGGUAAGCUGCGACCACCACUAGAUAUUUUCCGACCACCACUUAGCCUUUCCGACCACUGCUUUACAUUCUACAAGUGCUGGCUAGUCCAGUUUAGCUGCUAGUCUUCGCUUACCAGUUUUACUGUCUUGAUGUGCCUUAUAUAGAGCUAACUAUUAAUUGAACUCUACUUCAUGACCAGAACAAUUAAUUGAAUUAAUUGAAGCUGCAGCAUGGCUUUGUUGAGUUCGAGGAGUACUGCAGCUAGCUAGCAGCUAUACUCUGCCUUAAAACAGGGAGUUGGACCACCUGCUAAGGAAAAGACAAGCUAGAGAGUGAGCAACUGGGUGCAGUUAACACUUCCAAGUACUGAUUAUGACCCGGCCUGUGAUGAAGAAAUCUUAGUAUAGCACCAUACUGUACUGAUGCAAGUACAACAAUGUACAUAUAUAAUUAUUUCAGCUACAGUACCCAUCAAUAAAAAGUUCCCGUUCCGUUCCGUUUGCGUAAAACGCACAAUUCCGGUUUAAACGCAUAAAAAAAAAAACGCAUAAUGAACGCAUUGUAUUAUGCAAAACGCUACCGUUUUCACGCAUGUGCAGAAAAAUUGCUGAGUAAGCAGAUUCGUUAACUUGUGAUUAUGCGUACAGUGUAGCAGUAGCUAGCUAGCUAGCUUGUGUACUACAGUAUAGCUGAUUGUCUAGCGCUUUAAUCCUCUUAGUUAGCUUAUAGAUGCUAUUUUGCAACAGUGGACCGUUUCCCCAGUUGUUCUCGGUCUCGCAUCAGCCCCAAGACUAAGUUGCCCUUCAUGCAAGUUAUUUGUGACCUGGAAUGACCGUUUUUGAAGACCAUCGUCUCUUCUCCAGUAUGUCUGACUGCGUACUUUAUAAUAACUAGCUAGCUAGCUAGCUCAUUGUACUACAAAUCAUACAGUAUCAUUGUCAGGGUUCUAUCUAGAAGAAAUAUUUUGUGGGGGGAAGCCUAAGGGGGGUCCAGGGGUCCUCCCCCGGAAAAUUUUUUAUUCUAGAUGGCCAGAGACGCAAUUUGAGCCAAAUAAGGUGGAAGGUUUGGGGGGGAAGCUUCCCCCCUGCCCCCCCCCACUAGAUAGAACCCUGAUUGUGUAAGUAAUUUCAAUUUUUCAUGAUGACGUCACCAUUUUAAUUUAUAAUGAGAAAUUGGUCGCGUUGUGCAUCCAGUUUAACGCUACCGUUUAUACGUGCGUUUUUAGAAACGGAACGGAAACUUUUUAUUGAUGUAUACUGUAUAUACUUACAUGGCUUACAACACAUGCUUGUUCAAAUUUGUGUCCCCCAUCAUUUUUAACCACCUCUCAAAAUUCCUAGGCAGAACCCUGCAUACCGUAUUACUAGAAUACUUUGCUGUUGGUGAAAAACCUUUGCGAAUCAGCCAAAUCGGCAACCCUUUGCGAUCUAACUAUUGCGUUCUGGCAAGGAUCGUGUGUAUUUACCCAAAAUUAGGUUUUGCAAUUUUAUUGUUUAAAAAUUCGCAUAAUUAUGCUCGUAAAACAUUCUAGUAAUACGGUAACUGUGAGGAGUGUUGUUAUUAUGGUGGUUGGUUUGCAGGUCUGGGGAUAUGGCGGCCAACAGGGAAGCUCACUACACACAAUGAAGUUGAGCGUCGGCGUCGGGACAGGAUCAACGAGCUCAUCAAGAUACUGGCUCAGAUAGUGCCUGCUUGUCAGAAGAAAGACGCAACUAUACUGGUUGCAUUGUCGGGUAUGUGUACAGUAUGUGUACAGCAAGGGAACGGUACUGGACAAGACAGUGGACUACUUGAAAGAGCUCGUGUUUCAAUCCUCUCAACAAUAGUGUAUAGUAUAUAUUAUAAAUGCUGUCACAAGCCAACAACAAUGGCGGGGGUGGUGGUGGUCUCUCUGCCGCGGCUGCUGCUAGUCUGCUCAACACUCUGAUUCUGGCUCAGAAUGUGCUCACAAGCAACUCAAGUGCUGGUAGCCCCGGGCAAGAUUCAAUGUCUAUGGAAACGGUGGACCAAUCCUCUCAACAGUAGUGUACAGUAUAUUAUAAUUGUGGACUGUUUAUACUGUUCUAGUUUUAACGUGUGUUUUUUAGUAAUCUCUCCUUCACUUACUAUAGCUCAUUGUCAGUAUUAUUAUGUAUACAUAGUUUUUAUACAUGAUAUUUGUGUGGAGCUCUUUGAGAAAAAUAUUGUAGCAAAGCCCAUUUAUAUGUAACCACGCCCAUUAUAAUUAUGUGCAGCCUAGCCUCCAUCUCAAGCGGCACUUCCUAGAAAGUUGGCCUGGUAAUUGACUGCUUGUGCAUGAGCUAACCAUUAAUUGAGAAGAACCUUCAUCAAGAACAAGGACACUGCCGAGGGUAGCACUUCAGUGCUCUAGUUCUAAUUGUAGAUUGACUGAUCGAUUUGUCUUCUGUACUAUUGUUUGAUUUUUCCGGCCCCCAGUUAUGCGGCCAUUUUUCAGCCCGGCCAAGUGUUGAGGAGACAAGAAGAGGCACUGAGAAUGGAGGUAGAGGCGUACUAUGCUGCUAAGAAGGCCACUCAGUGUGACUAUGACCGUGUGACUCUUUAACCCCUCAGUUCCAUUAGGAUAACUGGGGGCCGGAAAAGAUAAGCCUACUAUGCUGCUAAGAAAGAGAGGGGCCUCACGUAAACUGGCCACUCAGUGUGACUAUGAUCAUGUGACUCUUUAACCCCUCAGUUCCCGAGCCCCACCCCUCACUGUCUGACUCGGAAGAGGAGAUAGACUUUGUAUUCUGGGAGAAGGCGUCCACCCUACCCUCGGACAAGACCCCAACCAAGGACCUGAACUUGUUAUGAGACUGUUAAAUAUUAUUUUGUCUGUUUUUGUACUAUUUUCUGGCAAUGUAAUUAUGUAUGUACCACUUCAUGUCAUCAUAAUAACUAUAAUUAUAUGCAAUAAAAUUCUGUUGCAAUUUAAUUUUCUCAACAUGAU